rnacentral:snoRNA from 1 species
AAGACUAUACUUUCAGGGAUCAUUUCUAUAGUUCAUUACUGGAGAAGUUUCUCUGAAUGUGUAGAUAGUAGUUGGAAACUGCUGUGGAUAUCUCAGAAGU